rnacentral:rRNA from 1 species
CUACGGAGGGUGCAAGCGUUAUCCGGAUUCAUUGGGUUUAAAGGGUUCGCAGGCGGCGUAUUAAGUCAGUGGUGAAAUCCCGAGGCUCAACCUCGGAACUGCCAUUGAUACUGGUAUGCUAGAGUAUAGUUGGCGUUGGCGGAAUGUAUCAUGUAGCGGUGAAAUGCUUAGAUAUGAUACAGAACACCGAUCGCGAAGGCAGCUAACGAAACUAUAACUGACGCUCAGGAACGAAAGCGUGGGGAGCGAACAGGAUUAGAAACCCCGGUAGUCC